GGGAGGUAGUGACAAUAAAUAACAAUACGGGGUUCUUUCGGAUCUCGUAAUUGGAAUGAGUACAAUUUAAAUCUCUUAACGAGGAACAAUUGGAGGGCAAGUCUGGUGCCAGCAGCCGCGGUAAUUCCAGCUCCAAUAGCGUAUAUUAAAGUUGUUGCAGUUAAAAAGCUCGUAGUUGAAUUUCGGGAUCAAUACGUCUGUCGUGCCUUUGGUACGUACGGGUGUAAUUGGUUUCUACCUUCUGAGGAUCCUUGAUGUCAUUAAUUUGGUGUCUUGGGGAAUCAGGACUGUUACCUUGAAAAAAUUAGAGUGUUUAAAGCAGGCAUACGCUUGAAUACAUUAGCAUGGAAUAAUGAAAUAGGACGUUCGAUUCUAUUUUGUUGGUUUCUAGGAUCGACGUAAUGAUUAAUAGGGAUAGUUGGG
rnacentral:rRNA from 1 species